AUUUUACAUAUAUAUUUAUAUAUAUAUAUAUAUAAAUAUUUUGUAAUAAUAUAUAUAUAUAUAAAAAGAAAGAGAGUUGAGCUAGAAUACUAUUAAUAAUAUUUGGGCUCUUUUACUAUCAAUUUUUAGGCGUUAGAUUUAUACUUUAAUUAAUUCCGCUCUUUAGAUCAUACAAUUUAACCAACCAUCCACUCAACCCUGGGAGGACCAUUAAAUCUUAGGGGACCACUAUCAUCCUAAUCCUAUAAUUUUUUAUCCAACGGUUAAAAACUCGAUAGCAAAAGAGCCAAAAUAUUAUUAAUAGUAUUCCAGCCAAAUUAUAUAAAUAUAUAUAUAUAUAUAGAGAGAGAGAGAGAGAGAGAGAGAGAAAGAGAGAGAGAGUCCAGCUACUAUACUCUUAUGAGUACGAUCGCCUUUGUACUCAUAAGUCAUUUUCGAUGAUAGAGCUUCCGAAUCAUAAGUCAUUUUCGAUGAUAGAGCUUCCGAAUCGACAAUUCAUACCGUUAAACGUUAAACCUUCUAGCAAUCAAAUUUUAUAAUUUUUGACAUUAUUUACCUUACGAUAAAAAAAAAUCUCAAAACUGACAAUUUUUAACAGCUUGUAUGGAAUACUUGCUAGUUUAACGGCGUAAAAGAAUCAGAACCGGUUGAAUUUUUUAUAGAAAAUUAUAUUCACUAUCUAGAUAAAGAUCAAUAAUUCUUAUCUUAAAUUGAAUGAUUCAAUCAUCCAUUUUUAAAAGGUCGUUCGAUUUUGAUCGUUCAUUUUAUGCCCGCUUGAUGGACUUUAUAAUGAUUUCGAAAAAUUACGAAAUUUAUUUUUUAGAAGUUUCAAAUACUCUAAAUCAUAUAUAACGGACUGAAUCGUCGAUUCGGAAGAUUUAUCAUCAAAAGCAACUUAUAAGUACUAAAGGCUCUUUACUCAUAAGAGUAUAGUAGCCCUACUCUCUCUCUCUCUAUAUAUAUAUAUAUAGUAUAGUAGAAUAAUUCUAUAUUAUUACAAAAUAUUUUUAUAUAUAAAAUUAUGUUAUUGUAAAACAUUUUAUGUAUACAUCUUAUUUAUAAAUAUAUAGUGAUUUAUUUUAUAGUAUUAAAUUUAGAAAAACUUCAAAAAGCCCCCUUGGUUUCUCUUUUUCUCACUUUCGCACCAUGUGGUUUAAAGUGUAUCAAUUUGGUGCCCUGUGGUUUCAUUUUUAUCUUUUCAGCAGCUUUUUCAUUAAUAUUUUGUUAAAUUAUAUACCAAAAAACUUCAGGUACCGACCUAGGUUUAUCGAAUAUUCAUUUUAGUACCCUUUAAUUUUAACUUUGUCACUGAUAAUAAAAAAAUAGUGAAAUUGAUACACUUUAAACCACAGGGCACUAAAGUGAGAAAGUGCGAAACCACAAAGGGGUUUUUUAAGUUUUCCCUUAAAUUUAUACUAUUAUAUAUUAUAUUACAUAUUUAUUGUAUAAUAAAUUUAAAAUAUAUUUUAUUUAUAAAUAUAAAUAAUAAUAAUAAUAAUAUAUAUAGUAUGAUAAUUAUUAUAUAUCAAUAAUAAAUAAAAUAUAGAAUAAAAAAAUACAUAUAAUAAUUUCUGUUUAAUAUCUUUUUCUUUCAAGUUCCAACUAAACAAUUGUAACAAAAAACUAUUUAUUUCCUACAAACUGCUCAAUAAAGAGCAUAAAAUUUAUUUUCCUUCAAAAAAAAUUUUUCAUCAAAAUUAAUUUUUAUAAUUUUAUAU
rnacentral:lncRNA from 1 species